rnacentral:lncRNA from 1 species
CCACAAUAGACAAUAUCGUCUCGACAAGGUGAUCAAAAAUAUUUUCAACACGAUCAUAGGGAUAGGGAUCAGGGUCGUUGAACAAGAAUGAGGCUAUGAGCAUCAUGAUACUCAUUCUCUUCCUCGUCAUAAAGAGCGUUUCUUUAGAGACAUUAAAUUAGAUACUCCUACGUUCGAUGGUUGCUUAGACCAUGAAAUUUUUACUCAAUGGAACACCCUUACACAAGGAAAUUGGCUAGUAACUGAGUACAUUGCUCAAUUUGAGGAAUUUCGAAUGAAAUGUCAUAUCGUUGACGAUGAGGCCCUGACUUUGAGUAUGUUUAUACAAGGUCUAAGAGAUGAACUUAGGCGUGAAUUUUCUUUCGAGGCGUCACUACUCUUGAUCACGCUUAUUUGUUAGCUCGG